GGGCCCGCACAAGCGGUGGAGCGCCUGGUUUAAUACGAUGCAAAGCGUAGAACCUUACCAGGGCUUGACAUGUAGGAAGUAGGAACUCGAAAGAGGGACCACCAGUAUCCAGUCUGGAGCCUACACAGGUGUUGCAUGGCUGUCGUCAGCUCGUGUCGUGAGAUGUUCCGUUAAGUCGGGUAACGAGCGCAACCCUCGCCCUUAGUUGCCAGCGGGUAAUGCCGGGGACUCUAAGGGGACUGCCUUUUAGGAGGAAGGAGAGGACGACGUCAAGUCAGUAUGGCCUUUAUGUCCUGGGCUACACAGGCGCUACAAUGGAUAUGACAAUGGGUAGCAAACCGGCGACGGUGAGCCAAUCCCCAAACAUAUUCUCAGUUCGGAUUGCAGAUUGCAACUCAUCUGCAUGAAGUCGGAAUCGCUAGUAA
rnacentral:rRNA from 1 species